rnacentral:rRNA from 1 species
AUUGAACGCUGGCGGCAGGCCUAACACAUGCAAGUCGAACGCAGUGGGGACGGGUGAGUAACACGUGGGUAACCUCCCAUCAGAGGGGAUAACACUUGGAAACAGGUGCUAAACCGAUACUGAUGGAUGGACCCGCGGUGCAUUAGGUAGUUGGUGAGGUAACGGCUCACCAAGGCCACGAUGCAUAGCCGACCUGCGAGUGGGAUCGGGCACACUGGGACGGAGUCACGGCCCUGACUCCUACGGGAGGCAGCAGUAGGGAGUCUUCGGCAAUGGACGAAAGUCUGACCGAGCAACGCCGCGUGAGUGAAGAAGGUUUGCGGAUCGUAAAACUCUGUUGUUAGAGAAGCGGUAUCUAACCAGAAAGCCACGGCUAAAUACGUGCCAGCAGCCGCGGUAAUAC